CCCGGGAGCACUUCUGGCCUUUUGGGUUCCAGUGGAGUCUGAAAAUGCUAGAAGCAGAGCUGAUCCUCUUGUCUUGGGAAGACUCAGGGAUUUGCUUUGGUUUUCAGUGGCCACACGUGUAGGGUUGACUGCAGCGUCCCUGAUUUGCUAGAAGAGGGUUUGCAGUGGCUCAGCGAUCCUCCGGACAGGGCCCCCCCGCCGUUCCUGAGGAAUUUGUGUCAGACUGAACAUUUCAUACAACGCGGCAGAUUUUGUCACCUUGAUUCGAAGGAAGUUGAUUGUGUUAACGCUUAAAGAUCAGGAGGGAACACAGAUGACGGGAGAAUAGAAGGCUGCUGGUCUGCAAGGAGCAGGGUUCAGAGGACGUGUCCUGGGCCAGGACCCACAUGUGUGCCAACAGCUUGCUGAGGCUCUGCUAGCAAGGCUGGGGAUGGCUGUGGUGCCUUCUGUGCUGCUCUGGAGGGCAGAAGAUUUGUGCCUUGGGCCACUGGCAGGCAGCUGCCUAAAACGCUACGGGUGCAGGCAGAAGGCUAAACCUUCAAGGAGUGCCGCUUGCCGUUACCAUGACUGGCUGUGUCCUUAAACCGCAGACCAAAACAUUUCCAGUUCCAGAGUCUGGUGUCCUUCUCCAAGGUCUCUGGCUCUGGUGGCCAGGGCUGUUGCUUGGUGGUGCCAAGCUGAUGAAGAGCCACCAGUUGUUAUCCUGCUGUACAGAUGUGCCAGAGGUAGCUGUGACCACGGGUGACUGUCUCCAUGAGCCCAAGGAGAAAUAGCAGUCUUCCUUGGACGACGUUCACAGUCACGGUGUCGAAUUCCAUAACGAGAGCCCGUCGCAAGCACAAGCUGCCGUGGGAGCCCAUGGCUCCCGUCACCCAGGUCCUUUGUCUUUAUCAGGGGGCUGCUCCGUGACUCACUUCCAUUGCCAUCGCUGAACGCAGCUAUCAGAUGCCACAGCUUUUUUUAUUAUUAUUAUUUAUUAAUUUUUAUUUUUGAGCUUGAGCCCGUGUGCUCUCCAGGAAAGCCAGGCUGUCAUCAAGCGCAGGCUGCGGAGCUUGAACCAGGGCUACCUCCAGCACAACGCCGGGGCUGUGCUCAGCGGUAUGUUUGGUUCGUUCCCCCCGAGCUCCACUGAACUGCGACGACGCUUCACAUUCUGCACAGGGAACGUGAAACUCCAGCAUCAUGGAGCAGUGUCACUGCAGCUCCCCUCGGAACGAAGCACGUGCAAUACCUGCCGCGCUCCUUACAGAACUGCCCUCAAAACAACGUCCUGGAUGCACGCAGAGAAGGUGAAUACCUUAGGGAAAUGUUUUUAUUUAUUCUUCUUGGGUGCCUAUAUGGCAAUCACCCAUGCAGCAUGAUCCAGGAUGUUGAAAACCAUUUCAUUAUGUUCUAUAAAUAAAGGACUGAUGUGGUUCAAUUGUAUCAAUUAUGCAACUCUUCUAAGUGGUGUAGGCAAGGGUAAGCGCCGGCGAAGGGCACUCCCUCUGUACCCACUGCUGCUGUGGGCACGUCUCCUGUUUACCUGCUCCUCAUAUACCACAGAGAGAUGAAUCUGCCCACUUCUAUUUACCGCUGUGCCACUGACUCCUCUUUGGUCAGGAGCUUUUCCGAUGCACAGAUGACACAACGAAACAGAAAAUGGAAGUCCAGACACUGCUGUGUGUGAGUCUGUUGUGCAAGAUGCAAGUGUGGCCGUACAGUAAUUUCAAGCAAAGCAUCGGUUUUAAACAAUGUUUAAACUGACACCAUUAUUAUGCAAUAUAAUUAAUUAUGGCUAGAAGGGCAUUUGAGGUUAGUUGGCGCUACCUUUGUCCAUUUUAUAAUUAUACCAAGAAGAGGAUGACUAAGUUGUGCCUAAGCUAAUUGUAUCCAUUUGGUUUUAUCCCUCCUCUUCACCACUGCAAGUUACUUGCAUUCUGGACUGGGAGGUUUUCUGAGGGGUUUGGGUGCGUUUGUGCUGAACACAGUGCUGGCCGGGCAGCCUCAGGUAACACUGCAGUAGUAGCACUAGCAAUAAUUACAGAUAGUCAAAGUGAUAAGUGCAAAGCAAAUGUCACUUUUUUUCCCGCCGCUGUGCCAGUUACCUGCAAGAGAUUUAUUCUGUCUGCUCCUGCUCUGGGUGUUCUAGGACAGAGGAUCGAGCUGGUGUCCUCCAGACGCGCAGGGAACCCAGCAGAGCCCUCUGGGGAGCGGCUGAGGACUGGGGGCUGAUGGAGGCAGCAGCACCCCCGGGGCCAGCCGCGGUGCCGAGGGGGUGCCUGGGGGUGGCGGGGGUGGGGAGGGUUGGUGGUCCAGAGUCCCAGUGCGGCUCAGUGUCCCAGGCUGAGGGAGCCGGGCUGGAGCUGAGCACUGCCCUGGCCUGGGCCGCCUGCGCGCAGCCGCCGGACAGCCUGCCCAGAGGUGGUGGGGCGUAAGCCGUCUCCUGUGAAUGUUACCUGGCAGCGUCAGGAUUAAAAACAAACAAAAAACUCAGCCAACCAAACAAAAAAACACCACCAAAAACCCCCAAACCCAAUGAUGAUAGAUUUACCUCGGAAAGGAAUUUAGUAAUACAUGGUCUUGUUUGGCUACGACAAACGGCUGUAGUCCUCAGCUGAUGGCUGGAAACUGGACUGCACUUAUGUAAAAUAGAACUGCCUGCAAGGAUUGAACACUGUAAUUAACAGGCAGUUUUAGAAAUUAUUGGCUAAUGCCAUUUAAUAGAAAUACUGCCAACUAUUGUUGUAAAAACUUGGUUCGCUCCUUCUGUGGUAAUAUAAAAUGAUUCACCAGGGCUUCACUGGGAAGAGAUACCUUUGUCUGUUACAUAUUGUUACCUACAGUUUUAGAGUCGUCUAAUACGACAAUACGAAUUUUGAAAUUUAAAUAUAUUUCCCAAAACUGACUAGCGGGCCAACUGCCUCCCGCCCCCAGCCGCAGUGUUGGUGAUACAACCUGCCCUGUUGACCGUGAGAUGGCAUUUCUGACCCAGCCCCGCGGCAGCCGAGGCAGCUUUUGCCACUGAUGGUGUUUAAGCAGUUGCAAGUUUAAAGGUUUCUGUAGCAGGCAGAUACGUUUAUGUGAGCCUGAGCAGCUCCACCUAGAAUAUUUCCUUUGCAGGGUGUACAGUAUCAUUCAGAGAAUUAAUCUGUAUUUUCGGUAACAAACUGAACCACACUGGAGAGUACAGGUAGCUCUGCGAUACGGUGCUCUGCUCAUGCGAUGUAGCUGUUGUAUCACGUUAUAUCACCUCAGAACCAUUUUCACAGUGCUGCAAUAGUGACCGAAAGGUUAUUUCUCAAACCUUGUCACCCAGAAGGUACCAGCUGAGAAGUUUCUGUUUGAUUGCUAAAGAGUAAAAAGCAACAAGUGAAUAUUGGCAAAUCUCAGAUGAGGCACGAUGUGGAUGUUGCACACCUCAGCCUAACGCCCACCUCCGCUUCAGGGAAAGGAGAAACCAGACCUGCAGACAUGCUACUCGCCUCCUGGUUUGAGAGUUCCCCCUCACCUGUUUGGAAAUGAACUCCAGAACCUCACUGCUUUCUAUUUACUGCACCAGAGCCAGUGAUCGCGCAGUGCUUCCGAAGAGUCAGCAGUUGCACCCCUAUUACAGCAUUUUAUGAUGCCUAUUAAUGUAUAGAUUUAGAAGAAAAGGCGGUCUGUGCGGAGACUGGCCUUCCUGAUAGAAGAGGGGGAGCUAGAGUCCUCUCUCUGUUCAUCUGGAAGCAGCCCCAAGGCGAGGCCCCGGCGUGCCGGGGAGGGUGGCCAUUGUGGGAGUGUGACCGGCCGCAGCCGGGCCACCUCAGGGCAGGGCUCAGGCAGACGUCGGACAAAGGCAGCGCUCCCAGAGCCUGGCUUCUGGCUGCAGCCACUGGCGAGUUUAAGCACAGGGGCUCUGUGGGCCUCAAGGGCAAGAGGCAAUGCCCCUACCUUGUUUCAAAGGCGGGCACUUCAGAGCACAGGGGCAUCGGCUCCCAGAAACGCUGGUGGUCAGCCCCCUCCUGACAUGCCUGAAGGGAGUGAGACAGGGGUGCUGACAGCUCCAAAGGGAUUUGGGUGCCCUAUCCCACUGCCUUCCAGUAGUAUGGACUGUGACAAGCUCUUGGAGAACCCAUAAAACCCAGCCCCACUGUCCAAGGCAGGUUCCAGCCACCCCCCGAGGCUGAAGUGCUUAUAAAGGUGGUGAAGCUGGUAUAUUAACAAAUAAUAUUGAGUGAAUUGAUUUUCCCUUCCUGCAUUGCUGUCUCUGCUCUGUUCCCUCCAUUGAUCUAGGCACUAAAAGACAAUUUAUUCCCAUGUCCAGACCCCACGUAUCAUUGUAUCAGGGGACUUCUUGUCCACUCACUAGAAACCGUGAAGAUGUGAAUGCACCUUCUCUUUUGAAAUGUUACUCCAUCCUCCCACACCUCUUUCUUUGCUAACUGCAGUCAGCCAUCCCUGGGACUGACACCCACUCUGCUCCCAACUCACCCAUGAACAGACAUGAAAACAGACCUUGCUAAAUAGACUGCAGCUCCCGUUCCAGGCGCUUGGACACUACAUCUGACCCAUAAAUGAGAGACCACUGUGUGGGUAAGGACGCCGGGCUUCAGCGCUCGCUCCAUGGCGCAGGUGACUCAUCCUGGCCCUCACCACAGCAGCGCUGAGGUGCUCCAGGACUUAUGGACUGAGCCAAGUGGAGGCUACUGCUGGUCCUGAGGAGGUGUUUGGGAACAUCUCCCCAUAGGGAUGGGCCCCACACAACCUGAACAAGAAGGUGGCUGAACUCCCCAAGGACCCCUGAUUCCACGCUGACGGCUCCCGUGGGCCUCCUUGCAGACUGUGGCACAGCUGGAGCAUCUGGCUGAGAAGCUGAAGGUGCACUAGAGCCCCUCGGCCCGCUCCUCCUGCCCGCCCUCCCAGGGAAAGCCCUACAGCCGUGCCCUCGCUUCUGGUAAAAGUUUUCCACUUUUUGUACCAACAGCUUCCUGCGAAGACGGAGGACGCAGAGCAAACGGAAAGCUCGGUGUGGGACACGGUGCAAAAGAGGUUUCAAAAGGUGAAGGGAGGAAAAGCUACCUCGUGCUGGUACCACAAUGGCUCAGCACUGAUGCCAUAAAUAAAAGGAAAUGUGUUGGACGUUUUAUUUUGCUUGUGUGGUAAACUGUACAGUUGGAGUCUGAAUAAACCUCUUUUGUCAAUUUUAUUACCUUCCUGAUAUAAAAAUAAAUAAACUUAAACAAAAGAGUGGAGACCUGCCACACCAGCCUGGUUCAGUAAGAACUGCACUGACAAGGGAAUAAUUUUGACCUAAAGCUGAGGGGAUAAAACGAUAAGCUUUUGGGAAGGCAAAGCCCCUCCAGAACAAGCUGUGGAGCACAGGAGGAUCUAGAAUAAAGAAUGAAAAAGGGUAUUCUUCCAAAAGGAAAGGAAAAUGCAAAAAUGACAUAAAAUUUUUGCUACCAGAACUGCUUUCUAGUUUGAUGGAAAGGCUGCAUGCAACAGCUGCUCAGAAAUAGGAGCGCGGCAGAGUAAUAGCAGCUGGGAGCAUUUUAAUGAUUGCUAAAAAAGAAAUAAAAUCACAAGUAAAUGAUACAGUGUAUUAAGUAACUAUUAAUAGGCUGAAUAUAAAACAGACAUCAAGAAAUCAUGCUUUUACUUUGCAGUUAAUCUCAGCAGUGAGUUCUAGGCUUACCACCCCAGUGCCCACAUGGGAACCUCAGUAGGCAGCAACACGUAAUUAGCGCUGGGUGGAGGUGAAUCAACCCCUUUCCGUCAUGAAGCCAAGGAGAGACCCUCAGACCAUCUGCCAAAGGUGGGCGGGUGGGUGAAUAAGAGUGUUACUUUCUUGCUAGACUCCAAUCAGGGCGCCACACCUUGUGAUAGCAUCUCUGUAAUAAGCAAACAACUUUAAAUGAUGUUGUGUCACUGCAGGAGGGUGACCCAGCAAGUCAGGUUUCAUGUGCACGAGGGACUGCAGGUGCUCACACUCGCCUGGGAACCCUCAGCCUGCCCAGCAGAGGAACCUGACCUUUCAGACUGGGUCUCCUUCGUGAGAGAUGCACGUGGUCCACGCCAGCGCUGGCACCACGCGAACAUCCUACUUGCUUUUCUGUGCAUCACUGUUGAAAGUCUUCUAAUGUGCUGUAAGGAGAUUACAAACCUAAGUCCAUCACAGAAAUACAAUCCCAUUAGUAUGGGUACAAGGAAAGAUGAGAGGAUUAUGUAUAUUUCUUCUCAUUAGCAAGACAUGCCCGAUGCUGCAUGCCCAAGUGUUCCUGCAGAGUCGUUACCUCCUGCACUGCGCCCGCCUUUCCUCUAUUGCAACUCCACGGUCCGGUCCCAGUCGGAGGGGAGGUGUCUGCUCUGCUCUGCCAAGCCUUUCUGGCCGUAAAGGCCCCAGUGAAUCCCAGUCCCAGCCCUCCAUGAGGCUAGCCCAUGUCUGCACUAACCAGCAUUUCCAGGAGUUUUGUCUUCCACAGACAUGGAGCGAUUCAGGGGCGCCACUGAUGCCGUGGCUGCAGCCAGGCCCCCGCGGCAGGAGAGACCCUCAGGCCACCCAAGGGCAUGCCAGCUUGGCGAAGCCAUGUUUGUCCUGCUCUGGCUCCAGUCAGACCUGGUGGCUUUCCAACCAUUUUGUUUCUUGCUUUCUAUAGUAGUACUUACCUCAGGAUUGUACUUCAGACCCCAGUGAACCAAGGUUAUACCUAGUGAAACUCAACCGUCUUCUGUGAUUUCAAACUACUAUAGGCCAUUGUGCAAAUGUGUAUUUUGGCAAGUGCCUGGCCCUUCCUGUUGACUGAACUACUCACGCUCUCUAGAAACCACCAUUCCUGUCCCUAGCACUCCGUGCAGAUCACCUUACCCUUUCUUCUUCCUUAUUUUUUCCUUUUAUUCAAACUAGUUGAAUCCUUGCCAGGUGCCAGGAUCUGACACUACCAUACUCUUCUGCCCAUUGGCCUGGUAGGCUCGUUCCUCCUCUGUUCCCAUUUCCUCCCCUUAGAGUUCCUGCCCUGAGGUAACACAAAGGCCAUGGCAACAAUGGCAGGAAGAUCAUCCUUGGUGGAAGGCUGGAAGAAAGGGAUUCCCAACAGGAGAAAUAGGUGUGUCCUGGUUAGGUUGCUUCUGAGUUUGACCUGCUCUACCACUCCCUACCAAAAAUGCCCUCAACCAACACUGCAGGCUCAUGCUGAAGCUCUCAUAAACUCAACACGUGUAAUCAACAGGCUUCUUCUGAAAGGGAUUAGCCAAAGCACUAGAAAAGAUGAAGAUGUCUUACAUAAGGUAUCAGUACAUUUUUCCUGGGAAUAUUAUAGGGCAAGUUCACACAGUAUCCAUGUCCAGAUACAAGAAGGUAGCUAGGAACGGCCAGCAUGGGUCUACUACAGACAAAGUGUACCCAACCAACACAGCUGUCAUCUGUGCUGGAAUGAGGGGAUGGAUGGACGAGGUGGGGGAAGCGGUUACUUCGGUUUUAGCAUGGCCUUUGACAUUGUCUGCCAUAUGGGCCAAACUGGAGUGGUAUUGCCUGAAUGGAUGGACCACAGCCUGGCUGAAAAAAGCUGGGCCAUGAAGCUCAAAGGAUAAUAAUGGUCAACAACUAGGCAUUUAAUUGGCAUUUACAGAUGGCAUUCCUCAAGUGACAACGCCUGGGCCUGUCUCCACCAGCAACCUGGAUGCCAGAGCAGAAUGGUUCCUCAGCCAGUUUGGGCAUCACAUUGAACUGAUGCUGUAGGUCAUUAUGCUGGAGGACAAGGCAGCCAUUCAGGUGGUCUUCAUCAGCCUUAAAGACAAGCCUGACAGAAAUCUUCUGAAAUUCAGCAAGGACAAAUGUAAAGUCUGCACCUGACACAGAAUAAACCCGUGCGACGGCACAGGCUGGGAACGGAGCGGGUAGAAAGCAGCUUUGCUAAAAGAAGGACCUGGGCUCCUGGUGGACAACAUGCUGAAGGGCCAGCAGUGUGCCUUUGCCGUGAUGGCGGCUGGUGGCACCCGGGGCUGCCAGCGAGAACAGAGCCAGGCUCUCCGCAGAGGUGCACAGCACAAGAGCAAUGACCGCGAGCUGCAGCAGGAGAAAUCCCAUUGGAUGGCACAGAAGACAUUUUCCAAAAUAAGAGCAGUUAAACUGGAGCAGGCACCUAGAGAGGUUUGUGAAAUCCCCACCCUUGGAGAUUUCAAAAAUGCGAUGGACAAAUCCCUGAGCAACCUAAGCUAAUGGUGAAGUUACUCUACUUUGAGGAGGCCGGAGUGCAGCCCUCCAGAUGUCCCUUCCAGCCGAUAAUAUUUUGUGGGUUGCUUUGUUGGGGUUUUUUUGAUAGCUGCCAAUCAGGGAGAUCUGGCUGGAGUUAAUUAUUCAUCAAAAAGAAUGGAAGCUGUUAUCUCUAUAGCAUCACCUGCCAAUUAUUUAUUUACAAAAUGAAUGAAUUCUGAAUAUGCAUCAUAAGUCCAGACAGUCAAGAGUCUUCACUUCAGAGAUUUUUUACGUUUAAGGAUCAAAGAACUGAACUUUCUCUCUCAGAUCUUCAAAUUAAGUAGAAAAGAGGUCCUGCCGUUAGCACACGGGAGUCAAAUGUGCAAAAAACUCCUCAGUUCAGAACUAGCAUGAGAAAGACUAUUUCUCGCCUUUGUUUUGGAUAUAUGCAGCUCUCACACAUCCUUGUGGUGGCAACUUAACGUGUCGAGAGGCUUUCUGAUGAAACCAUUGUUUUGGCCUGAAAUGUGAAAGCAACGUUUGAGAUCUGGCCUCCAA